GAGGUGACGUUGUUUGCUGACACUAUUACAGUUCAACAAUUGGGAGUGAUGAUUUGGCAUACCAGAAAGGUCCUUUAGAGAGCUGAUCAUUCUUCCAAUCGAUUGCAAGCAGAUCAUUCCACUUAUUCUGCAGGAGUCUGAAUCUUCUUCGAACACAAGAGGUGAUGAGCUUCUUUCAGACUCCUUCCCCUACAAGGAACUCUUGAAUGGGAUCCUAUGAGAAGUUGAAGGAAAGAAUCUGAUCAAAUUGGGCCAUAAUCUGAAGAAAUGUGUUUAAGCUACGACAAGGUAUGAUAAAAAAAUAUAAAAGCUGCUCUUCCUGUCUUUUGUU